GCCCAGAUGGCGGAAUUGGCAGACGCGCUAGGUUCAGGUCCUAGUCUGUUUAAAAGCAGGUGGAAGUUCGAGUCUUCUUCUGGGUACCA
rnacentral:tRNA from 1 species